rnacentral:piRNA from 1 species
UGCUUACCUGUAUUUCAGAUGUGUAAGC